ACGAAAGUCUGACCGAGCAACGCCGCGUGAGUGAAGAAGGUUUUCGGAUCGUAAAACUCUGUUGUUAGAGAAGAACAAGGAUGAGAGUAACUGUUCAUCCCUUGACGGUAUCUAACCAGAAAGCCACGGCUAACUACGUGCCAGCAGCCGCGGUAAUACGUAGGUGGCAAGCGUUGUCCGGAUUUAUUGGGCGUAAAGCGAGCGCAGGCGGUUUCUUAAGUCUGAUGUGAAAGCCCCCGGCUCAACCGGGGAGGGUCAUUGGAAACUGGGAGACUUGAGUGCAGAAGAGGAGAGUGGAAUUCCAUGUGUAGCGGUGAAAUGCGUAGAUAUAUGGAGGAACACCAGUGGCGAAGGCGGCUCUCUGGUCUGUAACUGACGCUGAGGCUCGAAAGCGUGGGGAGCAAACAGGAUUAGAUACCCUGGUAGUCCACGCCGUAAACGAUGAGUGCUAAGUGUUGGAGGGUUUCCGCCCUUCAGUGCUGCAGCUAACGCAUUAAGCACUCCGCCUGGGGAG
rnacentral:rRNA from 1 species